CAACCAAUCGCCGAGGAGCACCACCCACCGAGCGACUGCUCAUUGGCAAAAGUGGCCGUCAAGUACACACGUCACGCAACAGCCAGGAUGGGCGGGGCAGAACUCUCGCCUUGGCUGCCCGAGUGAGUGUGAGUGUGAGAGCGAGAACAGCCCGCAGGUCCCGAGGCGCUUGCAGGGGACUCUGCCGCGGAAAGUUCCCAGUCCCCAGCCGCAGAUACUCUGGAAAAUAGGAAGAGAACCCAACCCAACCCAAACUGAAAGUACCAAAAUAUGUGAAAUCCGUACAGCAAAGAUGAUGAGCUUUCUGGGAGGAGAUACUGAAAGAAGAGUAAUUCUGUCCAGGGGGUCACUUCGAGAUCAUCCCUCUCACCUGAUGCUACUGACCUUGGAGAUUAAGGAGAUGUUGAAAGCAGCACUGCAGUCUCAUAAUUUUGGAAGUCUCCCUUGAAAGUCUUUCCACCUAAUCCCAGCUCUUUGUGAACACAAGAGGAUGGGAGAACAUUCCUCACAGGAUACUAUUAACACUGGGAAGAAUUUGAGUCAGUGCUUGGCUGUGAAUCUCUGCUUCUGCUUCCAUCAGCUACUGGAUGAAGAAGACUCUAGGAUGGCAUUUAAGGAAUGCCUUUGAACUGAUCCUACUACAUCUAUCUAUCUCCUAAGUCUCAGUUUUAUAACUGCAAGUAGCUGUCAGUUGAUAUAAGUACUGCAAGAACAGGAUGUGUCUGGCUUGAUAUUUAGGACCUGGACCUGAGAGGAGUCUGGACCCUGGAAAUAAAUGCUUGCCAAGCAUGCUACCAGCUAUAUUUCCAGCCUCUUUUUUAAAACCUAUUUCAACUCUGUAUGAAGCAACUCUUAACUGUCAUGUAUUAUGAUCAGUAGUACUAUUAAUUGCCCAUGGCUGUGCUGUUUCAUACUACUUAUUUAAAGAUUACAAAACAUGGAGCCUGUACAUUUAUAACUUAUUAGAUGCUAGCAUGAGUUCACACCAUUUAGUUCUUAAUCUACUUCACAUUAUUAAAUCUUAUUGAGAACAUCCUUGAAGAUGUGUCUGUUUCUUGUCCUUUGCAGCUCUUAUCUUACAGAAUCCAAAAAAUAUAAAGUAAAACAAAUAUCCUCAACAUAUUUAUAUUGAAAAUCAUAUGACCACUAUACAGUGAAAAGUAACACCAAGUUUACAAUUGAAAAGUAAGGCAAUUUGCUGUUUUCCAUUUUUGUCAGUGUCUUAACAGUUUACUCAAGAGAAAGAGGGAUUUACAUAUCUACUUAAGUAUUCAGGCUGGUGUGAUGUUAUGUCUAAUGUAGCUUUGAAUUUUAUUACAUUCUUGUGAUAGAAAAACUAAAGAAAGGCAAAUAAACCUUGCUAUUAAGAAAAAGAAAAACAACCAUGCUUUAAGCUUAUAAUUUUUCUCAGGAAAAUCUGAAAUCCUCAGAAAUAUUUUGACAAUACUUUUCAGACCCAGGCAGUUGGAUAUCAUUGACCUUAUCCUUCAGUGUAUUGGUUUACUUCUCAGCUCUGCAUAUCUUAAAUCCAGUUGCUUGUAAAUUUUUUAUGUAUCUAUGGUACACUGAUGAACUGUUGAUAAAACCAAGGCCAAGUAAUUAUAUUAGUGUUACCUCCAGCUUUGCAACUGCUCCUCCUGCUGUCAUGUUUGCUUUCAUUUAUCUUUGGAGUCACUCACUUAUUUUCCUUUUGAUGUACUUCACAUAUAAUUUUGUUUUUUUAACAGCCAAAAGAUAUUAAUUACAACCUUCGAGCCAAGAUGUCUACAGAACAGUACUUACUCUAUUCUCUUUAAAUAAAAGUUAUUUUUUACUGUCAACUUUAGAUAUUCAAAUUCACGGGACCUCCACCUUUGUAUUGUUAGGCAUUUCCCCCUGUACCUCACUUCUUUACAGAAUUUGGGAGUAUUCUUUCUGCCUAAGGAAUGGAAUAUGAAUUUCUGAUGACUGUUCAUAUCUGGUGAUAUCCAUCUUGAUGUUUCUAAUGGAGGAUCCUGUGCUUAUUAGGCACUUGUCAGCUGUUCAUAUACCAUCCUGAAGUGUUAGGGUCUCUACUAGGGAGUAGAUGACAUAUCUGCCUAUGAUCAUUCUUAGAAGUGUUUGUCCAUUCAUCUGCUACUGAUUAUGUUAAUUAUUCUUGGUCUCCACCUAUGUAGGGAAAGCUGAUUCAAGGCCUUUCCCAUCAUGUCUUAUGCUUUCCCAAGAUCUCUUCAAUUUUGUUGCCAAAAGCCAUUUUUCUGAAAGAUAGUAUUUACAAAAUUAAAAUUACUUGUAAGAUAUUUUAUUUCUUUCUGGUAUUAGGCCUAUCCUGAGUUAUCCCUUGUUGGGGGCGGAGGGCAUCAUAAAGUUAAGAUCUGAGAAAGAAAGAGAAAUCAUAGCAAUGAGGGAUAUACUGAAACAUACAUAGUCAUAUAUGCAUUAGGUUCACAUGUUUUACUUUUUUGUUUUGUUUUUUAAUCCUUCCUCAAUCUGCAUGUCUUGGGUUUUGGAUCCCUGACUAGGUCUGGAGAGAAAAUGAAGACAGGAGAGAUAUACAGAUGAACAGUAAAGCUAGGAUGAUGUGGGGUCAGUUACUCAGCCAAGAUGGAACCUCAGUAUAUUUAUUGCCUAGAGCACAGGGACAGGGGCUACCUGGUCUAAUUGGAGGGUGUCUGUUGAUGAGGAUUCUUAAGCUAUAAAAUCUUGGCGGAGGAAACCUCUCUUUUGUACAAUCCAAUGGUCAUUCAGAAGCAUCUAUACUGGAACUCUCAAGGAAAGCUUUUCCAUUCCUCUUGAGUCUUACCAGGGUAAGGCUUUGGCAGUCCCUUAGGACUGAGACAUUGGAGUCUGGUUAUGUUGGCACCUGUAUUGACAAUGCACAUUCACUCAGAACUCCAUGUACUCAGAGAUUUCUUUAUUCCCUAUAGAACCCCUCUAACCAGCCCAGUGUACACCUACAGAGAUGCACUCCUUUUCCCAAUUCUUUAGCACAACUUGGUGUAGGAACGUUCUAAUACCAAGAAUAGUGACUCUCAGAUAGUAGGACGUCUAUAAAUAUUUCAUCUAGGAAGCUAAGAAGUAUGAUUAAAGUAUUUUAAGUAGCAUUACACUUACUGUUUCUAAAUUAUUUUAUUUUUUGACCAAAGAAUAUAAUCUUUCCUGUUCUUUAUUAUUUGAAUUAUAGAACUCAAGGAAUAAAGACUGCAGAUAAAAUAUUGAUGUCCUUCUCUAAGGGCUUUAAUAUACUAAACAAGUUUUUAAUAAACUAGGGAUAUUCAGUGAAUAUCAAUGCAUGUUCUCUAGUAAUGCACUGAGAGGAAUAAUAGCUAUACUUUUAACCUAGAAUGGUUCAUAAAAUGUCUCAUUUCCAAGUACUGAAAAAAUAAUAAUCCAACAUGUAGAAAUACUCACAUUAAUGUAUUUGAAUCAACCGCAAUGUCUCUAGCAUUAACUGAUACUGUACAAUAGCAUUUAAACUAAGUCAUGAAUGUUAGGUUUAGCUCAGCACCCUAGAGAUAUUUAUUUUGCUUUUAUGUUUCUAUUUCUAUGUAUAAAUGUCAUAGCACAAAGAUAAAUACAGUAUCACUAAGAGGAAUAGAAGGGUCUACUUGUUUGAAUAUACACUUCUUAGAUCAUCUCAAUGAACUAUUCCUUAUCCAUUUUCUAGUUUCUGAAAUUUAGAAUUGAAGUUUCAGUUUAGGAAAUAAGUUAAAAUUUAUGAUUA
ensembl:lncRNA